rnacentral:rRNA from 1 species
CUACGUAGGGAGCGAGCGUUGUCCGGAAUUACUGGGUGUAAAGGGUGCGUAGGCGGGACUGCAAGUCAGAUGUGAAAUGCCGGGGCUCAACCCCGGAGCUGCAUUUGAAACUGUGGUUCUUGAGUGAGGUAGAGGUAAGCGGAAUUCCUAGUGUAGCGGUGAAAUGCGUAGAUAUUAGGAGGAACAUCGGUGGCGAAGGCGGCUUACUGGGCCUUUACUGACGCUGAGGCACGAAAGCGUGGGGAGCAAACAGGAUUAGAUACCCUGGUAGUCCACGCGGUAAACGAUGAAUGCUAGGUGUUGCGGGUAUCGACCCCUGCAGUGCCGGAGUCAACACAAUAAGCAUUCCGCCUGGGGAGUACGGCCGCAAGGUUGAAACUCAAAUGAAUUGACGGGG